rnacentral:misc_RNA from 1 species
GAUGAAGAACGCAGCGAAAUGCGAUAAGUAAUGUGAAUUGCAGAAUUCAGUGAAUCAUCGAAUCUUUGAACGCACAUUGCGCCCCUUGGUAUUCCGAGGGGCAUGCCUAUUCGAGCGUCAUUAUCACCCCUCAAGCCUAGCUUGGUGUUGGGUGACUGUCCGCUUCACGGCGGACUCGCCUCAAAAUUAUUGGCGGCCGGUACAUUGGCUUCGAGCGCAGCAGAAACGCGAACUCGGGCCCGUCGUAUUGGCUCCCAGAAGCUAUCUUCACAAUUUUGACCUCGGAUCAGGUAGGGAUACCCGCUGAACUUAAGCAUAUCAAUAAGCGGAGGA